rnacentral:rRNA from 1 species
CCUACGGGGGGCAGCAGUGAGGAAUAUUGGUCAAUGGACGAGAGUCUGAACCAGCCAAGUAGCGUGAAGGAUGACUGCCCUAUGGGUUGUAAACUUCUUUUAUAUGGGAAUAAAAUGUUCCACGUGUGGGAUUUUGUAUGUACCAUAUGAAUAAGGAUCGGCUAACUCCGUGCCAGCAGCCGCGGUAAUACGGAGGAUCCGAGCGUUAUCCGGAUUUAUUGGGUUUAAAGGGAGCGUAGGUGGAUUGUUAAGUCAGUUGUGAAAGUUUGCGGCUCAACCGUAAAAUUGCAGUUGAAACUGGCAGUCUUGAGUUCAGUAGAGGUGGGCGGAAUUCGUGGUGUAGCGGUGAAAUGCUUAGAUAUCACGAAGAACUCCGAUUGCGAAGGCAGCUCACUGGACUGCAACUGACACUGAGGCUCGAAAGUGUGGGUAUCGAACAGGAUUAGAUACCCCAGUAGUC